rnacentral:rRNA from 1 species
GACGAACGCUGGCGGCGUGCUUAACACAUGCAAGUCGAACGGAAAGGCCCUGCUUUUGUGGGGUGCUCGAGUGGCGAACGGGUGAGUAACACGUGAGUAACCUGCCCUUGACUUUGGGAUAACUUCAGGAAACUGGGGCUAAUACCGGAUAGGAGCUCCUGCUGCAUGGUGGGGGUUGGAAAGUUUCGGCGGUUGGGGAUGGACUCGCGGCUUAUCAGCUUGUUGGUGGGGUAGUGGCUUACCAAGGCUUUGACGGGUAGCCGGCCUGAGAGGGUGACCGGCCACAUUGGGACUGAGAUACGGCCCAGACUCCUACGGGAGGCAGCAGUGGGGAAUAUUGCACAAUGGGCGGAAGCCUGAUGCAGCAACGCCGCGUGCGGGAUGACGGCCUUCGGGUUGUAAACCGCUUUCGCCUGUGGCGAAGCGUGAGUGACGGUAAUGGGUAAAGAAGCACCGGCUAACCACGUG